GUCUGUGACACAUAGUAAUUUGUCAUUUUGCAGCAUCAUUAAUUUGGUUUUUGAGAGCCAUUUGCUUUGCUAGUGAGUGGGUUUGAGAACCCCAGCGCUCCUAUCUCAGUGUGGGUUUUGAGGUUUAGAAGGUAAUGCUCAUGAAUUGAAUUCUAAAAACAUACAAAAGAUGGCUUCUCUGUGAAUCCUACUUCUAAAAAGGAAAGGCAAGAACUAAUGCUGGUGAUGGAUGGGAAGGAAAAGUAAUGAAGACAAGCAAAGCAACGGCUCUUGGAAAGGAAAAGUUUUGUGGCAAAAAUAAUAUAUUCUGCAUUGACGUUUGCAAAUAUCGGGAUUUACAAGGGUUGGCGAAUACAUCCUGUGUGAGGGUUAAGUAUCUACGCUGCUUUUUAAAAGUCAGCUCCUUUCUUCCUCCCUUCCUUCUUCCUUCCUUCUCCCUUCUUCCUCCCUUCUCCCUCCUUUCUUCCUUCUCCCUCCCUUCUUUGCACACAUUCAUUGAGCACCUCCCUGAUCUAAGCCACGGGCUCUGCACUCAGGGGCCACACAGCCCCAGUCUCAAGGCCUGACAGCCUGGCUAGGAGACAGGCAUGUGGACAGAGGAAUUGUGCCUCCAGGCUGCGAACUCAGAGGUCCAGUCAUCAGCUGGUUAUACCUAAGGCACGCUCAGUGGAGUGCAGGGGAAGAAUGAAAGGAGAUGAUGAAAUAGAGUCAUGCACUGUAUAGUGAUGUUUCAGUUAAUGAUGAACU
rnacentral:lncRNA from 1 species